AUUGAACGCUGGCGGCAGGCUUAACACAUGCAAGUCGAGCGAGCGGCGGACGGGUGAGUAAUGUCUGGGAACCUGCCUGAUGGAGGGGGAUAACUACUGGAAACGGUAGCUAAUACCGCAUACCAUCAGAUGUGCCCAGAUGGGAUUAGCUAGUAGGUGGGGUAAUGGCUCACCUAGGCGACGAGCCCUAGCUGGUAUGAGAGGAUGACCAGCCAGCAUGGGAAGUGGCAACGGUCCAGACUCCGACGGGAGGCAGCAGUGGGGAAUAUUGCACAAUGGGAGCAAGCCUGAUGCAGCCAUGCCGCGUGUGUGAAGAAGGCCUUCGGGUUGUAAAGCACGUUCAGCGAGGAGGCGUUACUCGCAGAAGAAGCACCGGCUAACUCCGUGCCAGCCGCCGCGGUAAUUC
rnacentral:rRNA from 1 species